rnacentral:misc_RNA from 1 species
GUGAAUCAUCGAAUCUUUGAACGCAAAUUGCACUCUCUGGUAUUCCGGAGAGUAUGCCUGUUUGAGGGUCAGUUUAAAUAAAAAUCGGUGUGGUUGCUGCCUUUCGUGUUGCUGCACCGGUUGUGGGUCGUCUUGCCUUCGGUUAAGUGCCCUAAAAUUUUGCAUGAUUUUUUCGAACGUACUUACAUGAUUUUACGUACGUUUGCGAUAUUGAAUACUAGGUGCGGUACUCCUUUUG